rnacentral:rRNA from 1 species
GACAAACGCUGGCGGCAUGCCUAACACAUGCAAGUCGAACGGACAGAACAGGGAAGCUUUUCGGAGUGGAACUGGAAAGUUAGUGGCGGAUGGGUGAGUAACGCGUGGACAACCUACCUUGUAAAGGGGAAUAACCUCGAGAAAUCGAAGCUAAUACCCCAUAAUAACCUUGCUUCGCAUGAAGUAAGGAGGAAAGGCGGCCUUAGCGCUGUCGAUACAAGAUGGGUCCGCGUCUGAUUAGCUAGUUGGUGAGGUAAAGGCUCACCAAGGCGACGAUCAGUUGCCGGCCUGAGAGGGUGAACGGCCACAUUGGGACUGAGACACGGCCCAAACUCCUACGGGAGGCAGCAGUGGGGAAUCUUCCGCAAUGGGCGAAAGCCUGACGGAGCAAUGCCGCGUGAGUGAAGAAGGCCUUCGGGUUGUAAAACUCUGUCCUUAUCGAAGAGAGAGUGUUGUAGUAACUGACAAUACUAGGACGGUAGAUGAGGAGGAAGCCCCGGCUAACUAUGUG